rnacentral:lncRNA from 1 species
AACUAAAAUUUCAACCCCUUUUUUUUGUAAGGGUUGGGGUAUGUGUAUGUGUGGAAGAUGUCCUUAAAUAACAAUAAAAUGAGCAAUCCAAAGAAGUUAAGUGUUUAGAAAAAUGGAGACAUUGCCUAGUUUCCCUCCAGAUUUAUCAAAACCUCAUCAUAUUCCCUUUUACACUUUAACCAAAACUCAAAUGGGAAAAAGAUUGUGGUCUCUGGUGGGCUUUCAGGAUGUUGUAUUUAAAAAAAAAAAAACUUUUGCUCCAUUGGUCUGUAAUAGCCCUUUGACCUUAUGCCUUAAAAAAAAAAAAAAAAAGUUAACACUUCUUUAAUGAAAAUUUUGAAUGAGUUAGGUUGAACAUAUAGUUUUCCAAAGAUAGUUUUCAUUAUUGCUUUUUUUUCUUUUUUCUUUUCUUUUUUUUUUUUGUAGUUAACAAGUUGUUACUCAAGUUUUUGUGGUCAGAUAUCAGACAAUCCCCAAACAAUAUGGUCUCAGCCAGAUACUUGUUAGCUUACAGUCGUUUUCAAAGAGAGUUGGAGAACAGUGGUUUCUGCAUUAGAACACCAGAGAGCCCGGGAGGGUGGCAAAAGGCCAGAAUUUCCACCCAUAAGUAUAUAAAAGCUUCCUAGAAGGCCAGAGUGGGUGCGAAAGGAACAACCAGAGAGAAGUAGACACAGACCCAGGGAGGCAUAGAAACACCCAUUGCUCCGUUGAAAAUGCACAUAUGGCUUCGUGCCAGCAUUUGCCAAAUAUCAUACUCUGUUUCUAUCUUUCUGCUGUACUACUACAAUUUUGACCUUCUUGGCUGCUUUCUCAGGCUCCGUGGUGGUUCUGUUGUCUGGCUGGUCUGGUUUCCCUUUCCUAUAGAACAGUGUCUUUCCUGAGCUCUCUCUGUUCUUCCUCCUGCUUGGAAAUUCCUUAGAUCAUUGGAGUUAACAACCUGGCUAUUGUAUGUUUUCUGGUUGCUCUGAAAUCUAACGUUUUCUGCCUCUCCACAUGUUCUUUUAGCCCGGGUGUUACUCUAAAAGGAAAAUAAGUCAUUCAUAAAGUAUUUGCCUAUUAGCUAGACCCUGUUUCUUCCAGCUGUGAAGAUGUUCGUUUACAGAGUUAGUUGAGGCCCUCCCCGCUUUCUAUACCCUUCAUCUGUCUUUGUACGUUUGCUUUCCAUGGUUUUGUUUUUGCCGUCUACCUUACCUUUGUCUUCAGUUCUCAAAAGUGUUGUUCAUUACUGUGGAAGAUUGGGUUCACCCUCCAUCUUUCCUGCCGCCCAUCCAUUAUAGCAACUUCCUCCCGAGUCUAGAUAUUACCCAGAAUCCUUCUUGACACAGAAGUGGAGGCCCCAUCCAGUCAGUGAAGGAGCCCGUCCCUGCUGCAGUCCACCUGCAAUUGGAGAUUCCAAGAAGGGCUUGGUACCAUGUCAGAGUUGGGGAGAACUCGAUUCAGAACUUCACUGAUAUCCUCCUUAAUAGCCUGGAAUGUUUCACACAGCUGCUUCAAGCUAUUUUGAUGGACAUUUCACAAUCACUGGCAGGGGUCACCAUUAAAUGGAUUCCUAAAGUGGAGAAAAGAUUGUAGUCCACCGAGAUUCCCUUCCCUGGUUUCUCCUGCUUGCAGACUUUGCUCUGAGUUGGACUUUCUCUGUGCCUAGGACACUUGGUGAUACGAAAGGGAAGAGGAGUGCAGAGUCAGCUGACCAGUGCCGUUAGGAAUUGGUAGCAUGCAGAGUUUGGCAAUGUUCAGCAUUCUGACUGGAAGGGAGGAAGACCUUUUCUCAUCCCAUUUUCUUAGGCUACGAGAUCCCACUGUUGAAAGAAAAUACAUUACUUGUCUUUAGGAUCUUGCUGGGUUCUGUUUGGUGUGUGGAGAGUUUCAAUAUAUGUGUUAACAGGUCACAGAUGAAGAUCAGUGGCCAUACAACCUGUGCUUUAUGCUACUCUCACUCGGAGCUCCAUCCCUAGCCAUUCAGCUAUGAUCUGCUCUAGGCUCUAGGACCCGCAUGUGUGCCACCGGGAAAUGGGUUUCCCUCAGUGCUCUUCCUACCUUCUCAUGGACUUCAUUUCAUCUUGGACUCCUGCUUUCGUUUGUUUUCAUCUUUUCCUUGCUGAAGUCAUUAAUGUAACUCACACUUGCAUUCUGAGCUGCAGGAAUUAGAGGGCCCAGCACCUCAUGGGAAAAGGGUGUGUAGCUAUUGGGACACUCCCUGGGGAUCGAUGAAACACCUACACAUGAACUUCACCUUUCAAGGAAGAACCUUGAGACUUGAAGAGCUGUAGUCCCGUUUCCCUAGAAAUUAUUGUGUACAGUUUGGAUGAGGAUGCUGUUUUUUGAUGGGCACUACUACCCAUGGGUAGUUAAGCUUGAGAAUAAAUCACACAAGAGGUAAGACCUUGAGUACUGGAAAGGUUUUGUUUUGAGGGAAUGUGCUAUUUUGGCAUCUGAGGUCAAGGAGAAUAAUUUAUGAGUGGCAUUUGAUGUUGGCUUCGUGUGUCUGAACUCCAUGUUGUGCGAAUUGAGGUGAGCCCACAAUAGAUAGACGGCGUCUUCAUCGGAGACUUGUUAUGGAUGAGUGAAAGCCCUGCCUUUCAUUAUGCAGCAACUUGGCAGGGUCCAGGCAGAGUAGAGCAGAAGAGUUGAAUUAAGUUGAAACCUGGGCUUGGCUUCCUGGGUGCUGGGACAGUGACUGCCAGAGCGCUGUGGCUUGAACAUUGUUAAUAGCUUCCUUGAGAUGGUCAGUUUAGCUUUGUAACCAACAUCUGAAAAUCCACCUUAACUGCCUCUAUUCUUUUGAACAUUUUCUGGGAAGACAGGAAUAU